rnacentral:rRNA from 1 species
UUUACAAAAACAUUUCUUUCAGUGAGAGUUGAAAGUAUAACCUGCCCACUGAUUUUAAAGGGCCGCGGUAUUUUGACCGUGCUAAGGUAGCAUAAUCAUUAGUCUCUUAAUUAGGGAAUUGUAUGAAUGGUUGAACUUUUAUUAGCUUUAUUUUUCUUUUUGUUUGAAUUUUUAUUUUAGGUAAAAAUACCUAAGUGUUUUAAAAAGACGAUAAGACCCUUUAGAGCUUAAUAUUUGUUUGAAAAUGGUUUUUUGGGGGAAAAACCAUUUUCAAACAAAUAUUUAAUUGGGGCAAUUAAAGAAUAUGAAUAACUUCUUUAGGUUGAGAGAUCUUGAAUUUUAAAAUUUAAAAAGUUACCUAAGGGAUAACAGCGUAAUAAUAAUUGAGAGUUCAAAUCGACAUUUUUGUUUGCGACCUCGAUGUUGAAUUAAAAAAAGCGCUUGGGGCAGCUUUUAGGGGGCUUUGUCUGUUCGACUUUUAAUUUUUUACAUGAUUUGAGUCAAAACCGGCGAA